rnacentral:rRNA from 1 species
AGGCGUGCGAUACAGGGUGACAGCCCCGUACACAAAAAUGCACAUACUGUGAGCUCGAUGAGUAGGGCGGGACACGUGGUAUCCUGUCUGAAUAUGGGGGGACCAUCCUCCAAGGCUAAAUACUCCUGACUGACCGAUAGUGAACCAGUACCGUGAGGGAAAGGCGAAAAGAACCCCGGCGAGGGGAGUGAAAAAGAACCUGAAACCGUGUACGUACAAGCAGUGGGAGCACGCUUAGGCGUGUGACUGCGUACCUUUUGUAUAAUGGGUCAGCGACUUAUAUUCUGUAGCAAGGUUAACCGAAUAGGGGAGCCGAAGGGAAACCGAGUCUUAACUGGGCGUUAAGUUGCAGGGUAUAGACCCGAAACCCGGUGAUCUAGCCAUGGGCAGGUUGAAGGUUGGGUAACACUAACUGGAGGACCGAACCGACUAAUGUUGAAAAAUUAGCGGAUGACUUGUGGCUGGGGGUGAAAGGCCAAUCAAACCGGGAGAUAGCUGGUUCUCCCCGAAAGCUAUUUAGGUAGCGCCUCGUGAAUUCAUCUCCGGGGGUAGAGCACUGUUUCGGCAAGGGGGUCAUCCCGACUUACCAACCCGAUGCAAACUGCGAAUACCGGAGAAUGUUAUCACGGGAGACACACGGCGGGUGCUAACGUCCGUCGUGAAGAGGGAAACAACCCAGACCGCCAGCUAAGGUCCCAAAGUCAUGGUUAAGUGGGAAACGAUGUGGGAAGGCCCAGACAGCCAGGAUGUUGGCUUAGAAGCAGCCAUCAUUUAAAGAAAGCGUAAUAGCUCACUGGUCGAGUCGGCCUGCGCGGAAGAUGUAACGGGGCUAAACCAUGCACCGAAGCUGCGGCAGCGACGCUUAUGCGUUGUUGGGUAGGGGAGCGUUCUGUAAGCCUGUGAAGGUGUACUGUGAGGUAUGCUGGAGGUAUCAGAAGUGCGAAUGCUGACAUAAGUAACGAUAAAGCGGGUGAAAAGCCCGCUCGCCGGAAGACCAAGGGUUCCUGUCCAACGUUAAUCGGGGCAGGGUGAGUCGACCCCUAAGGCGAGGCCGAAAGGCGUAGUCGAUGGGAAACAGGUUAAUAUUCCUGUACUUGGUGUUACUGCGAAGGGGGGACGGAGAAGGCUAUGUUGGCCGGGCGACGGUUGUCCCGGUUUAAGCGUGUAGGCUGGUUUUCCAGGCAAAUCCGGAAAAUCAAGGCCGAGGCGUGAUGACGAGGCACUACGGUGCUGAAGCAACAAAUGCCCUGCUUCCAGGAAAAGCCUCUAAGCAUCAGGUAACAUCAAAUCGUACCCCAAACCGACACAGGUGGUCAGGUAGAGAAUACCAAGGCGCUUGAGAGAACUCGGGUGAAGGAACUAGGCAAAAUGGUGCCGUAACUUCGGGAGAAGGCACGCUGAUACGUAGGUGAAGCGACUUGCUCGUGGAGCUGAAAUCAGUCGAAGAUACCAGCUGGCUGCAACUGUUUAUUAAAAACACAGCACUGUGCAAACACGAAAGUGGACGUAUACAGUGUGACGCCUGCCCGGUGCCGGAAGGUUAAUUGAUGGGGUUAGCGCAAGCGAAGCUCUUGAUCGAAGCCCCGGUAAACGGCGGCCGUAACUAUAACGGUCCUAAGGUAGCGAAAUUCCUUGUCGGGUAAGUUCCGACCUGCACGAAUGGCGUAAUGAUGGCCAGGCUGUCUCCACCCGAGACUCAGUGAAAUUGAACUCGCUGUGAAGAUGCAGUGUACCCGCGGCAAGACGGAAAGACCCCGUGAACCUUUACUAUAGCUUGACACUGAACAUUGAGCCUUGAUGUGUAGGAUAGGUGGGAGGCUUUGAAGUGUGGACGCCAGUCUGCAUGGAGCCGACCUUGAAAUACCACCCUUUAAUGUUUGAUGUUCUAACGUGGACCCGUGAUCCGGGUUGCGGACAGUGUCUGGUGGGUAGUUUGACUGGGGCGGUCUCCUCCUAAAGAGUAACGGAGGAGCACGAAGGUUGGCUAAUCCUGGUCGGACAUCAGGAGGUUAGUGCAAUGGCAUAAGCCAGCUUGACUGCGAGCGUGACGGCGCGAGCAGGUGCGAAAGCAGGUCAUAGUGAUCCGGUGGUUCUGAAUGGAAGGGCCAUCGCUCAACGGAUAAAAGGUACUCCGGGGAUAACAGGCUGAUACCGCCCAAGAGUUCAUAUCGACGGCGGUGUUUGGCACCUCGAUGUCGGCUCAUCACAUCCUGGGGCUGAAGUAGGUCCCAAGGGUAUGGCUGUUCGCCAUUUAAAGUGGUACGCGAGCUGGGUUUAGAACGUCGUGAGACAGUUCGGUCCCUAUCUGCCGUGGGCGCUGGAGAACUGAGGGGGGCUGCUCCUAGUACGAGAGGACCGGAGUGGACGCAUCACUGGUGUUCGGGUUGUCAUGCCAAUGGCACUGCCCGGUAGCUAAAUGCGGAAGAGAUAAGUGCUGAAAGCAUCUAAGCACGAAACUUGCCCCGAGAUGAGUUCUCCCUGACCCUUUAAGGGUCCUGAAGGAACGUUGAAGACGACGACGUUGAUAGGCCGGGUGUGUAAGCGCAGCGAUGCGUUGAGCUAACCGGUACUAAUGAACCGUGAGGCUUAACCUUACAACGCCGAAG